CGGAGGAAAAGAAACCAACCGGGAUUGCCUUAGUAACAGGCGAGAUGAAGCGGCAAAAGCUCAAAUUUGAAAUCUGGUACCUUCGGUGCCCGAGUUGUAAUUUGGAGAGGGCAACUUUGGGGCCGUUCCUUGUCUAUGUUCCUUGGAACAGGACGUCAUAGAGGGUGAGAAUCCCGUGUGGCGAGGAGUGCGGUUCUUUGUAAAGUGCCUUCGAAGAGUCGAGUUGUUUGGGAAUGCAGCUCUAAGUGGGUGGUAAAUUCCAUCUAAAGCUAAAUAUUGGCGAGAGACCGAUAGCGAACAAGUACAGUGAUGGAAAGAUGAAAAGAACUUUGAAAAGAGAGUGAAAAAGUACGUGAAAUUGUUGAAAGGGAAGGGCAUUUGAUCAGACAUGGUGUUUUGUGCCCUCUGCUCCUUGUGGGUAGGGGAAUCUCGCAUUUCACUGGGCCAGCAUCAGUUUUGGUGGCAGGAUAAAUCCAUAGGAAUGUAGCUUGCCUCGGUAAGUAUUAUAGCCUGUGGGAAUACUGCCAGCUGGUGACUGAGGACUGCGACGUAAGUCAAGGAUGCUGGCAUAAUGGUUAUAUGCCGCCCGUC
rnacentral:rRNA from 1 species